GGUCAAGGUACUAAGGGCACGCGGUGGAUGCCUUGGCGGCGGGAGGCGAUGAAGGGCGUGGCAAGCUGCGAUAAGCCCGGGGGAGCCGCAAGCAGGCGUUGAUCCCGGGAUUCCCGAAUGGGGAAACCUGGGUGGCCGUUGAGGCCACUCGCCGCCGAAAGGCGGUGCGACACCGGGGGAAGUGAAACAUCUCAGUACCCCGAGGAAAAGAAAUCAACCGAGAUUCCCCUAGUAGCGGCGAGCGAACGGGGAGGAGCCCAAACCAGCGUGGUGCCAAAGCCCGUGGGCGUUGCCACGCUGGGGUUGCGGGACACGACCGGGCGAGGCCACGGACUCGCCGGGGAGUUACAAAUCCCUCCUCUAGCCGAACCACCUGGGAAGGUGGGCCGGAGAGGGUGACAGCCCCGUAGGCGAAAGGGGAGGGACUCCCUGGGUCGUGUUCCCGAGUACCACGGGACACGUGGAAUCCCGUGGGAAGCUGGGGGGACCACCCUCCAAGGCUAAAUACUACCCGCCGCCCGAUAGUGCACCAGUACCGUGAGGGAAAGGUGAAAAGCACCCCGGAAGGGGAGUGAAAGAGGACCUGAAACCGCGUGCCUACAAGAAGUCGGAGCCCCCAUUUGGGGGUGACGGCGUGCCUUUUGAUUAAUGAGCCCGCGAGUUGCCGUCGGUGGCGAGGUUAAGCCGAUUGAGGCGUAGCCGUAGCGAAAGCGAGUCCGAACAGGGCGUCUAGUCACCGGCGGCAGACCCGAAGCCGGGUGAGCUACCCCUGGGCAGGGUGAAGGUGGGUUAAAACCCACUGGAGGCCCGAACCGGUGGACAGUGAAAAGUCCUCGGAUGACCUGGGGGUAGGAGUGAAAAGCUAACCGAACCCGGUGAUAGCUGGUUCUCCCCGAAAUGCAUUGAGGUGCAGCCUCGGGUGGUCUGUGCAGGGGGUAGAGCACUGAUGGGGCUAGGGGGGUUUCCUCCGAACCCCGUCAAACUCCGAAUCCCUGCACACAAAGCCCGGGAGUGAGCCCGCGGGGGAUAAGCUCCGCGGACGAGAGGGGAACAACCCAGACCGCCGGCUAAGGGCCCGAAGAGGUGGCUAAGUGGUAAAGGAUGUGGGGCGCCUAAGACAGCUGGGAUGUUGGCUUAGAAGCAGCCAUCAUUUAAAGAGUGCGUAACAGCUCACCAGCCGAGGCGCCCUGCACCGAAAAUGUAACGGGGCUCAAGCCACCCCCCGAAGCCGCGGGUCAGUACCUCCGCUGGAGGUACUGGCGGUAGGGGAGCGUUCCGCUGUAGGGUGAAGGCGGACCCGCGAGGGCCGCUGGACGAGGCGGAAGUGAGAAUGCGGGCAUGAGUACGCGAGAGGAGGGUGAGAAUCCCUCCCCCCGUAAGCCCAAGGGUACCUGGGGAAGGGUCGUCCGCCCAGGGUUAGCCGGGACCCUAAGGUGAACCCGAAAGGGGUAGCCGAAGGGAAGCCGGUUAAUAUUCCGGCGCCACCUGCGGUCGAUGGUACGAGGGGUGACGCAGGAGGGUAGGCGCCGGGGGCAAGUGGCAUGCCCCUCCAAGCGGUUAGGGCGAUGACGGGCGUAGGUAAAUCCGCGCCCCGAGCCUGAGCCGUGAUGGGGAGGUCCCUUCGGGGACCAACGGCGCCGACCCCACACUGCCGAGAAAAACCUCGCGUACCGCUUGAGACCGUAGGUGCCCGUUCCGCAAACCGACACAGGUGGGCGGGCUGAGAAGGCUCAGGGGAGCGGGUUAACCCUCGCCAAGGAACUCGGCAAAUUGGCCCCGUAACUUCGGGAGAAGGGGUGCCGCGUUAGGGUGAACCCGGGGGAAGGGGCAACCCGGAAACCGGGGGAGCCCGAGGCGGUCGCAGUGACAAGGCCCUGGCGACUGUUUACCAAAAACACAGGUCUCUGCUAACUCGAAAAGAGGAAGUAUAGGGACUGACGCCUGCCCAGUGCCGGAAGGUUAAGGGGAGGGGUGAGGCUCCCCUUGUGGGAGCGUAGCUCCGACCCGAAGCCCCGGUAAACGGCGGCCGUAACUAUAACGGUCCUAAGGUAGCGUUCGCUGCCUGCCCACAGGGAAACCUGUGGGGCAAUACCCGGCUGUAUGCGGGGAAGCCCUUAGAGCCCUUCCUACCUGGGGGCUGCGGCCAGCCCAGGUAAAAAUGGAAGGGAUUGGGCAAUCCGCAGGAAACCCCGUUGAGGGGGGAUCCUCAGAGACUGUACGCCGGGCAUCCAGUCCCCGUGAGAAGGGGUGGAAAUCUUGGAUCUCAAGCCUGACUGGGUCGUUGGGUUCGUCGAUGGUGAAGGUUGUUUCUACGUUGGUGUCAGCAGAAAUCGCACCAUGAAAACGGGUUAUCAGGUUCUCCCCGAAUUCAGGAUCGUCCAGCACAAGCGUGACAUACAGGUUCUGUACGCACUGAGGAAGUUCUUCGGAUGCGGUGUUGUGCGGAAGAACCACGACGAUCGAUACGAACUAAGGAUCAGAAAAAGGUCGUGCUUGAAGAAAGUUGUAGAAUUCUUCGAAAAACAUCCUCUAAAGACGAAGAAAAACGUUGACUUCAAAAAAUUCAGAAGGAUUCUCAUAAUGAUGGAACGGGGAGAACAUCUCACAAAAGAAGGUCUCAUCAAGAUACUGGAAAUCGCCAUGGAAAUGAACACAGGAAACCACGAAAGGUUGAAACGAACCCUCGAAGAGAUCCGGGGACUGGAUGAAGAUACAGUCCACCCCCACUCCGAAAGGGUGGGAUAAGGGUGAGCGAAAUUCCUUGUCGGGUAAGUUCCGACCUGCAUGAAUGGCGUAACGACUGGGGCACUGUCUCGGCGGGGGGCCCGGCGAAAUUUCAGUCUGGGUGAAGAUGCCCAGUACCCGCGGCUAGACGGAAAGACCCCGUGGAGCUUUACUGCAGCCUGGUAUUGGGCUCUGGUGCAUCGUGUAUAGAAUAGGUGGGAGGCUGUGAAGCCGCCUCGCCAGGGGCGGUGGAGCCGCCAGUGGAAUACCACCCUCGGUGCACUGGAGUCCUAACCUGACCCUGUGAAGAGCAGGGUGGGGACAGUGCCAGGUGGGCAGUUUGACUGGGGCGGUCACCUCCUAAAGAGUAACGGAGGUGCGCAAAGGUCGGCUCAGGUGGGUUGGAAAUCCACCGUAGAGUGCAAGGGCAUAAGCCGGCCUGACUGCGAGGCCGACAGGCCGAGCAGGGGGGAAACCCGGCCCUAGUGACCCGGCGGCCCCGUGUGGAAGGGCCGUCGAUCAACGGAUAAAAGUUACCCCGGGGAUAACAGGCUGGUCCCGCCCGAGAGUUCACAUCGACGGCGGGGUUCGGCACCUCGAUGUCGGCUCAUCCCAUCCUGGGGCUGAAGCAGGUCCCAAGGGUUGGGCUGUUCGCCCAUUAAAGGGGUACGUGAGCUGGGUUCAGACCGUCGUGAGACAGGUCGGUCCCUAUCUGCCGCGGGCGUAGGAGGCUUGAGGGGGGUCCUCCCUUGUACGAGAGGACCGGGAGGAGGGGGCCUCUGGUGUACCGGCUGUCGCGCCAGCGGCAUACGCCGGGUAGCUAUGCCCCUAAGCGAUAACCGCUGAAAGCAUCUAAGCGGGAAGCGCGCCCCAAGAUUAGGCCUCCCAUCCCGUUAAGGGAGUAAGGCCGGUCCGAGAAGAGGACCUUGAUAGGCCGGGGGUGUAAGCGCCGCAAGGCGUUGAGCCCACCGGUACUAAUCGGCCGAGGCCUUGACCUCCG
rnacentral:rRNA from 1 species